CCUACGGGUGGCAGCAGUAGGGAAUAUUGCUCAAUGGGGGAAACCCUGAAGCAGCAAAGCCGCGUGGGGGAUGAAGGUUUUCGGAUUGGUAACUCCCUUUGGUAGAGAAGAUAAUGACGGUAUCUAACGAAUAAGCACCGGCUAAAUCCGUGCCAGCAGCCGCGGUAAUACGGAGGGUGCAAGCGUUACUCGGAAUCACUGGGCGUAAAGGGCGCGUAGGCGGGAUAGCAAGUCAGAUGUGAAAUCCUAUGGCUUAACCAUAGAACUGCAUUUGAAACUGAUAUUCUAGAGUAUGUGAGAGGUAGGUGGAAUUCUUGGUGUAGGGGUAAAAUCCGUAGAGAUCAAGAAGAAUACUGAUUGCGAAGGCGACCUACUAGAACAUAACUGACGCUGAUGCGCGAAAGCGUGGGGAGCAAACAGGAUUAGAUACCCCUGUAGUC
rnacentral:rRNA from 1 species